GCAGGGCUAGAAGAACAAAGGCCUUGAGCAGUAAGUGCUGGUGACAAGAGCCUGCAGGACAGGAUGUGCUGCACUCCCCCAGCACCUCUGCUCCCUGUUGCAUCCCUUGAGUAACGAUGGUGACCUUCACCCUGAAGUCGAAUCCUGCCCCAGCCCAGCACCAGGCAGCAAUAAUCAAAGCAGAAACAAACAGGGGACAGCCUGCAGCUGCUGGGCAGGGCUGUGUGAGGCUGUGGGUGUUCCUGGGCUGCUGGAGGUGAGCUCAGCCCCUGCUGUCUCCAGCUCCAUCAUUCCCACUGGGAUGGGGAUGGGAUGGGG
rnacentral:lncRNA from 1 species